rnacentral:rRNA from 1 species
AGAGUUUGAUCCUGGCUCAGGAUGAACGCUGGCGGUCUGCUUAACACAUGCAAGUCGAACGGAACUCUUCGGAGUUCAGUGGCGGACGGGUGAGUAACGCGUGAGAAUCUGCCAAAAGGACUGGGACAACCACUGGAAACGGUGGCUAAUACCGGAUGAGCCGCAACGUAAAAGAGGAAACUCGCCUUUUGAGGAGCUCGCGUCUGAUUAGCUAGUUGGUAGGGUAAAAGCUUACCAAGGCAUCGAUCAGUAGCUGGUCUGAGAGGAUGACCAGCCACACUGGGACUGAGACACGGCCCAGACUCCUACGGGAGGCAGCAGUGGGGAAUUUUCCGCAAUGGGCGAAAGCCUGACGGAGCAAGACCGCGUGAGGGAAGAAGGCUCUUGGGUCGUAAACCUCUUUUGUCAGGGAAGAACACAAUGACGGUCCUGAAGAAUCAGCAUCGGCUACUCCGUGCCAGCAGCCGCGGUAAUACGGAGGAUGCAAGCGUUAUCCGGAAUUAUUGGGCGUAAAGCGUCCGUAGGUGGUUUUGCAAGUCGGCUGUCAAAGCACAGGGCUUAACCCUGUAAAGGCAGUGGAAACUACAAGACUCGAGUGCAGUAGGGGCAGAGGGAAUUCCCAGUGUAGCGGUGAAAUGCGUAGAGAUUGGGAAGAACACCCGUGGCGAAAGCCUCUGCUGGACUGCAACUGACACUCAGGGACGAAAGCUAGGGGAGCGAAUGGGAUUAGAUACCCUAGUAGUCC